UCUCAGAGAGGUCUUUUAUCACUAAUGCACAGAACCCCCAUCCCACCCUAAAUCAUGGAAUCAUACAAGUUUUUACUUCUUCAUAAUUUGUUGGAAUGAAAUUUCUCUAGGGACAAGAAUGACAAGCACAUAGAAACGUAUCCAAAAAAGGAGCACAGUUUGAAAAAGUAGUUUGAAAGCGGGACAAGCCACGUUUGAAAUCUUCCCAAGCAGAGCUGCCUUCAAACGUAGCUGGGCAGUUGGAAUCAAGAAGAUUUUAGGAAAAAAGCUUGAUCACCUCUCACGUCCUGAAUGACUUGAACCAAAAUGGGCCAAUAACAAAUAGGAACAACAACGGUCUGCUGAGCCACUACCAGCAUUGAAUUAGUUUUAAUAUACAAAUACACCUUAUAAUAUAAACUGAUGCAG